rnacentral:rRNA from 1 species
CUUCGGGAGAAGGGGUGCUCUAUUAGGGUGCAAGCCCGAGAGAGCCGCAGUGAAUAGGCCCAGGCGACUGUUUAGCAAAAACACAGGUCUCUGCAAAACCGUAAGGUGACGUAUAGGGGCUGACGCCUGCCCGGUGCUGGAAGGUUAAGAGGAGUGCUUAGCUUCGGCGAAGGUACGAAUUGAAGCCCCAGUAAACGGCGGCCGUAACUAUAACGGUCCUAAGGUAGCGAAAUUCCUUGUCGGGUAAGUUCCGACCCGCACGAAAGGCGCAACGAUCUGGGCACUGUCUCAACGAGAGACUCGGUGAAAUUAUAGUACCUGUGAAGAUGCAGGUUACCCGCGACAGGACGGAAAGACCCCGUGGAGCUUUACUGCAACCUGAUAUGGAAUGUUUGUACCGCUUGUACAGGAUAGGUAGGAGCCGAAGAGACGUGUGCGCUAGCAUACGAGGAGGCAAUGGUGGGAUACUACCCUGGCUGUAUGACCAUUCUAACCCGCCACGCUUAGCGCGUGGGGAGACAGUGUCAGGUGGGCAGUUUGACUGGGGCGGUCGCCUCCUAAAGAGUAACGGAGGCGCCCAAAGGUUCCCUCAGAAUGGAUGGAAAUCAUUCGCAGAGUGUAAAGGCACAAGGGAGCUUGACUGCGAGACUGACAAGUCGAGCAGGGACGAAAGUCGGGCUUAGUGAUCCGGUGGUUCCGCAUGGAAGGGCCAUCGCUCAACGGAUAAAAGCUACCCCAGGGAU